rnacentral:rRNA from 1 species
AGUGAACGCUGGCGGUAGGCCUAACACAUGCAAGUCGAACGGCAGCACAGUAAGAGCUUGCUCUUACGGGUGGCGAGUGGCGGACGGGUGAGGAAUACAUCGGAAUCUACUUUUUCGUGGGGGAUAACGUAGGGAAACUUACGCUAAUACCGCAUACGACCUACGGGUGAAAGCAGGGGAUCUUCGGACCUUGCGCGAUUGAAUGAGCCGAUGCCGGAUUAGCUAGUUGGCGGGGUAAAGGCCCACCAAGGCGACGAUCCGUAGCUGGUCUGAGAGGAUGAUCAGCCACACUGGAACUGGGACACGGUCCAGACUCCUACGGGAGGCAGCAGUGGGGAAUAUGGGACAAUGGGCGCAAGCCUGAUCCAGCCAUACCGCGUGGGUGAAGAAGGCCUUCGGGUUGUAAAGCCCUUUUGUUGGGAAAGAAAAGCAGCAGGUUAAUACCCCGCUGUUCUGACGGUACCCAAAGAAUAAGCACCGGCUAACUUCGUG